GUGGCUCAAGCGGUAGCAUGCUUGCCUGGCAUUCGUGCAACCCCGGGUUCAGUCCUCAGCACCACAUACAAACAAAGAUGUUGUGUCCGCCGAAAACUAAGAAAUAAAUAUUAAAAAAAAAAAAAAAAGAAUUUAGGCAUAAUCCAAGCUGUGUAGCAUCUAUAUAGUCAUCUCCAAAAAUAGGAAAAAUAACCACUCUCUUGGGCAGUAUAAAAUUCUUAAAGGAGUGGAAAGCCAACCCUUAAAAGUGAAGACUGACCGAAGGAAAAAUGUGUUUGCACAAAGUGUGUGACCUUCGGUUUAAGAAUUUUCAUAAAAAAUAUUCCAUUUAUGCAGCUUUACAAACACACUCAUAAUUUACAUAUCAAUCUGUUUUAAGCUUUGAAAGAAUACUUACCUGCAUCUGAUUGAUCAUGAAGCCAUUAAGGAGGGAUUAAAUGGGCUGUUGCUAUUCCCCAAUUUUACUUAGAUUCAUGCAUUUCAUCUAAAUCUGAGACAGAUAAGCUUGCAUUACUAAUUAACCACAGGAGUGAAAUUAUGCAUACUGUAAAAAUAUAAAUAUUAUCAUUAAAUGGUUGCAUUGCAAAAAAAAAAAAAGUAGGUAGAAAAUGGUGUAGGAAGAGACCAUAAU
rnacentral:lncRNA from 1 species